rnacentral:tRNA from 1 species
AGCCCUGUAGCUCAAUGGUGGAGCAACUGUCCUACAAACAGAGGGUCACAGGUUCAAAUCCUGUCAGGGCUAUCA